ACGUCAAAUCAUCAUGCCCCUUAUGUCUAGGGCUACACACGUGCUACAAUGGCGAGUACAAAGAGAAGCGAAACCGCGAGGUGGAGCCAAACUCAAAAACUCGUCCCAGUUCGGAUUGUAGGCUGAAACUCGCCUACAUGAAGCCGGAGUUGCUAGUAAUCGCGAAUCAGAAUGUCGCGGUGAAUACGUUCCCGGGCCUU
rnacentral:rRNA from 1 species